rnacentral:rRNA from 1 species
AAGUUACUCGGUACAUCGGUGACAGGUGGUGCAUGGUUGUCGUCAGCUCGUGUCGUGAGAUGUUGGGUUAAGUCCCGCAACGAGCGCAACCCCUAUUGUUAGUUGCCAUCAUUCAGUUUGGGCACUCUAGCGAGACUGCCGGUAAUAAACCGGAGGAAGGUGGGGAUGACGUCAAAUCAUCAUGCCCCUUAUGACCUGGGCUACACACGUGCUACAAUGGUUGGUACAACGAGUUGCGAGUCGGUGACGGCGAGCUAAUCUCUUAAAGCCAAUCUCAGUUCGGAUUGUAGGCUGCAACUCGCCUACAUGAAGUCGGAAUCGCUAGUAAUCGCGGAUCAGCACGCCGCGGUGAAUACGUUCCCGGGCCUU